rnacentral:rRNA from 1 species
UACGUAGGCAGCGAGCGUUGUUCGGAGUUACUGGGCGUAAAGAGUGCGUAGGCGGUUUUCUAAGUUUGGUGUGAAAUCUCCCGGCUCAACUGGGAGGGUGCGCCGAAGACUGGAAGGCUUGAGUAUGGGAGAGGUAAGCGGAAUUCCUGGUGUAGCGGUGAAAUGCGUAGAUAUCAGGAGGAACACCAAUGGCGAAGGCAGCACUCUGGGACGUGACUGACGCUGAGACGCGAAAGCGUGGGGAGCAAACAGG